GUGCUCACUUAGGCAGCACGUAUGCUAAUAUUAGAAUGAUACAGAGAAGAUUAGCAUGGCCCCUGUGCAAGGAUGACACGCAAAUUUGUAAUGUUCUAUUUUUU
rnacentral:snRNA from 1 species